rnacentral:lncRNA from 1 species
GCCAGCCAUGCUGGGGGUAGGGGGCCCGGGGAAUGCGCACACGCGUCCCUACCUUCUCGGUGCGUGGAGGUGGAAGAAGGCGGGCUUGUGCUCUCUGUGCUGGCAGCCGCCACGUUUAAACCCACCGCAUGGAAAAAGAGUUCGGGGCCCCUUGCCAGCCGGUUGUGCAACUGCCGCCUGGGCCACCCCACCACCAUCCUAAAUGUGGAAGCCUUUUGAGCUGUGCCCCAGCGUGCGGCCUCACUCUCCUGGCGCUGGCCACUCGGAGCCUGGUGAGGUCACAGCUCCCAGCUUAGGCCUUUGGGAAAUGAAACGCCCGAGCUGCGCCCUUCUUCGGGUCAGCGCCCACCGCAGCCAGACAGCAGGGCGCUGAGGCAACUGCCGAGUGCUCCCUGGAGAAGGCAAGGCCGGUUCUACCCGUUCCCAAGGAGGGCUUGAGCCCGGAGACCUUGAGGCGAAGAAUGCUCUUCCCUGGUCUGACGACAGCGGGCUGCUUGAGGAUUGCCAAUGCUGGAGCCUGAGGCAAGAAUGUCACAGACCUUUUUUGGGUGGUUGAUUGUGAUUUUUCCCUCUCUCCAUGCCAGGACGGAAAGAAUUCUGUGAUUCUCUGUGAUUUCCACGAGUCCUAGGCAACUUCAAGGCCUGUUUCAAAGGGUCUCCUGCUCCGUGGAGCUUUGCCUUAUCUCUUACAGGGAAAGAGAAGAUCGCUUCUAAUGAUACUUAGGCACCCUGUCUUAGAGAAUAAAUCCACUUAGACAAUAAAUCUGCUCAAGUGUAAUGUAGAUCUAAAUCCCAUCCUUAUCCACUAUGCUCCCAGCCCAUAUGUGUAGUAGAUGUGCUAUAAAUAUGUCGGUGCAAUACAGCCAGCCUCUAUCUGGGGUUCUGAAUCUGUAGAUUCAACCAACCUCAGAAAAAAAAAAUAUUUGGAAAGAGAUGCAUCUGCACUGAGCAUGUAUAUAGACUUUUAUUCUUGUCAUUUCCUUAACAAUACAGCAUAACAACUAUUUACACAUAUUUGGUAUUAUGUGUUAUCUAGAGAUGAUCUGAAGUAUGUAGGCUAGUUCAGUCACUGUAUUUUAACAAAUGCUUGAGGUAAAACUGAUGCACACCAGAGUUUGAGAACUGCUCUAAACCAUGCAAAGCAAAUUUUAAAAAUUUCACUUCCAUUAUGUAAUAAUGAUAAUUAUGAAUGCACUCUAUAGAAAAGGAUGGCUUUUUGAGUACAAGAACUCUUUGUCUUUGAAAUCCCCCUCCAUGUUUACUGGAUCUUCUGCUGUUAUUUUUGUCUCAGGUACCUGAGAUUAUCACCUCAUCCAACCUAAAAAUACCCCGUAUGCCUAAGAGAUUCUGAUUCAUUGGACUUGGGUUGGGGCCUGGAGAGUAAGGCUUGAAAAAGCUUCUCUGUGAGAACUCAUUCCCAGCAGCCUGUAGGACAUUGGGUUAGGGUGUGGAGUCCAGAGACAGAUUGCUGAAAAUUUGAUCCUUGGAACAACCAUUGCCUGGCCAUGUGUUAAUAGUAGAUUGUUAACAAUAGUAAUUCCCUAUGAAUUAAUGAAUUCCACCUGCUGUUAUCAACUCCCUUGUGUAGUCCAUUUCCACAUUAACUGUCAACUUACAUGACUUGCUUUGACCAAUAAAUGAGACAUCAUGAACCUUAUCUGAUAAGCACAUGCUUACUCCAAUGCCUUUGUU